rnacentral:lncRNA from 1 species
GGGAGGUCUUGUAGAAAUGCAUACAGGAUACUGGAACACACGAAUUAACAGAAAUUCGCAAUCCUUCUCCUCUAUUUUUUUCUAGACUAGAAGACACAUGGAAAAGAGCAGAGGUGACCUACCUAAGGUCACACUUCUGGUUGGUGUCCUAAGAUUCAACCGAAUGCAGAGAACUCACUACCAUCAGGUCCCGUGAAGACGUGCUGAAUGGCCUCCACGGCUCUCCAACUUGAGAUGCAUGAGGCUCAUCCUAUGAAUGGACAUAAAAUGUACAAGCAAGCUCUCAGCCAACACGGAGAUUCUGACUCACUGGGAGCCCUGGACUGGGAUAAAAUCACUGUGAACCUCUCAACUUGAAGUGUUCCUAAAAACACCCAAGGUCAUGAACCAAAAGUGGCGUUUUGCGUGUGACUCGAGUUAUCCUGCGCCUCACUCUCUAAGUGAAAGACCGAGCUAGAGUGCAAUGCCCACCAUGCACACUGUUCCUAGUGCUAAAUAAAAGCAUCCAAAGCCUACAAAACUACUACUUAUCACGGAUUCAGAUUUCUAAUUAGGAAACAGAGGACAACAGAACACCUGGGUCAGCUGCUGACCAGUGUGGUGAGAGAACACCAGCGCAGGGCAGAGGGCAGAGGCUGAAGGAGGAGGGUGGAACACUGCUGCUUCAUGAGGAGACACGUCGUGGAGAAGGUGGGCUUUGUCUAAAGAUCUGAAG